rnacentral:lncRNA from 1 species
GUGGAACUUUCAUGGGACAAGUUACUCGCAACCCAAGGUUUUACUGUACGUAAAUGCAAGCACUGUGUAUGACAGAACAUCAGUCACUGACUUUAUAAAGCAUAAAUGAAGAAUUCUGCUAUUAUCUCCAUCUGACAGGUAGACAACGGGAAGCAGGGUUAGUCUGAGUUGCCUAGGGUCAUGGAGCUAGUGACAAGCAUUCCAGAAUAGGAACACCCCCUGGUUCUAGAAUCUGUGCCCUGAACACUCUAUCGCAACUACAGUGUAACAGGAAUAACAAAUGUGACACUUCCUUGGUGAUGUACCUGGCUCAACCGGGGCAGGUCUUACCGUGGAAUGUGGUCCCGUCACGUAUCUCAAAGUAGCCGGGGAACCCCAAAAGCACAGGUUUCACUGGACUCCUAUUUGUGCCGUUGGAAACUCUACCUCAGACAUAACUGAAAUCUGUGAACGUUCUCUCCGGAAACCCAUGGCCCUUUUUGUCCCUCUCAGGAGAAGGCUCUGUGAGAAAGAGGGACAACCCUCAGCAGUGCUCUCUCCCCGCAAGAUCUGCCUGCUUUUACACGUAUUUGGCAGAAGUUGAAAGCUGGGGUACGGCAAAAUGUGCUGUGUGGCUCCCAAUUACUGGGACGAGAAGGAUUGGCCUUCAGGAAAGGGAACCAACAGGAUCAUCAAGACGGAGUCCCUUGUCUCAUCAGUUCUCCAAGAGGAACGCAGUCACCCUCGUCAGCGCCCUGCCCAGCUCUGCCCGUCAUUCCUGCUGGUUGACGACAUCACCAUCAUCAGCCAUCAUCCAUCACUGACUAUCCAGAUGGUUCAACCACCCUCUCCAGGAUCUGUGGCUGUAAAGAAUUCAAUUUCCUCCUCUUUAAUAUACGCAAGAGCUGAACUGUGUUACCCUGCAGCGUCUUAAGGAAAAGGAUUUCACCAUGAAUCUUGUAAAGCUCAUCUGGAAAUUGAUUCUGGGCAAGGUGUGCGCAAGACAAGCAGAUGCUGACAUUUUCCUCAAAUGGAAUUUCUUCACCAAAACAAACAUUCAGAUCACUUUGGGAGGAGAUCCGAGAAUGGGCCACUUGCAGACGACUGGCAAAAAAACAGUGGGCUGACUGGUUUGUUGUCAUUUUUACCAACCUGCUCCCCCCACCCCCGCCCAAAUCGUAUCGCAUCUCAUCAAAACAAAUGGCUUCUAAUUAGUGCCAAAGCACACGACUAGUAAAUAUGUGGUAUAAAUUGUAAUCUUUGACAUUUUCUAGGAAGCGCCUGGUAUAAAACAAAGGAAGAAUAAUGUGACACAUUUUAUAGCUGUCUUACAAGGAGACCGUUGCUUUUAGCUGACAGACACAGAAAUCCUGACUGAUAAGCCAUGACCACACUCUGAAAACCUACACAAUACCUUUAAAAUAAAUUCCAAAUGUAAAUCUGUGUUUCCCA